GACGAACGCUGGCGGCGUGCUUAAUACAUGCAAGUCGAACGGACGGGCCCUGCUUUUGUUGGUCUCUCGAUAGGGGCACGCGUGAGUAACACGCGUGUAACCUCUCCUUGUAUUUCGGAUAACAUUAGGAAACUGGGGCUAUUAUCGGAUAUGAGCUCUUGCUGCAUGGGGGUGGAUGGUGAGUUUCGGCGGUUCGGGCUGGUCUUGCGGGUUAUCAGCUAGUUUGUGGGGUAGUCGCUUACCAAGGCUUUGACGGGUAGGCGACCUGUGAGGUGUACCGGCCACAAUGGGACUACGGUAGGGACCAGACUCCUACGGGAGGCAACAGGGGGAAGUAUUGCAGAAUGGGGGGAAGCCAGUUGCAGCAGCGCCGCGUGCGGAAUGACGGCCUUCGGGUUGUAAACAGCUUUGGAAUGAGACGAAGAGUGAGUGACGGUAAUGAGUAAAAAAGCACCGGCUAACUACGUG
rnacentral:rRNA from 1 species